ensembl:lncRNA
ACACUGCUGUCAGUGAUGUGACAUCAUGACCUCAUACACUGCUGUCAGUGGUGUGACAUCAGGACCUCAUACACUGCUGUCAGUGGUGUCAUCAUGUGGUACUGACAUGAUCAUAUGUUACCGUGAAUCAGCCACAAGAUGCAUGUCUAGGGGGGGGUUGAAUUUAAUCUGAUCUGGGUUCACUUCUAUGUUCUUGUAAGAUAUAGUUAGAUGUCCCUGAGACACACGUAAAUGAUACACAAUUGAUAACAGGUCAACUAAAGUAAAAACAUGCCUUGCAUAGUAUAACGAUAGUGAUAAAACAUAUGAGAGAAGCUCUAGGUGGCGUUCAGCAGAUGUUACUGGGGCCUUCAGACGUUCUCUCACCUCUCCUUCUCCAGAUCAUCCUGGUAGGGCAACCUGGUGCUGGGCUCCUGGAGGCAGGUAGAGCGCUGUCCUCUGCCCCUGGCUCUCACUCCUUUGCCCCUCUUGCCCCGGUACUUGUCCCACAGGUUGCGGCCUUUGCCCCCCGUCACGCAGCAUGUGAUCUUCUUCACCGGGGUGGCCAGCUUCUUCACCGGGGCGGCCAUCUUCUUCACCGGGGCGGCCAUCUUCUUAACCGGUGCUGCCAUCUUCUUCACCGGGGCUGCCAGCUUCUUCACUGGGGCGGCCAGCUUCUUCUUCACCACAGAGUUCAUGCUGGAGACUCAGGUGCAGAUGCAGGUGUGUGUGUGUGUGUGUGUGUGUGUGUGGGUGUGUGUGUGUGUGUGUGUGUGUGGGUGUGUGUGUUUUCAGGUGUGUGUGUGUGGACAGGUGAACGCUGACUAUCUGUGAAUAUGAAGUAGUGUGUGGAUGUGCUGUUUAACCUUGAUGAAGGGCAGACUUGUUUCGUUCAUGCUCGUUAUGAGUCUGUGUGUGUGUGUGGUCAAGUUUUACGUAUUUAUGACUGUCUGCUCUGCUUGUCCCAGCAUCUGUGAGUACAAACACACAGAUGAUGAUGACUCAGAGGCCAGGACCUGCAAGGACAAGGACACACAAACACAGACACACACGGACACACGGACACACACACACACACACACACACACACACACACACACACACACACACAUAUAAAUGGAUCCACUUCAUGAAAGCACUGAUAUCUUUGCAGAGCCAUACAUUACAUUUUCAUAAUAAUAAAGAAUUUAAGACACACCAUCAGAGAAGAUGCAUAUUUCCAAACAGACAUAUUUGCACACACUCACACAAACAUUUAAGAAAUAGAAAUAGACACUUAAGGUAACCUAGAUCAUCACAGUCAAUUCAGUCACUCAGACAAACUGGCCUGUCCAUUAGCAAUGCCUGUUAGUAAUGAAAGCCUCCCUCCCACACACAGAUACAUAAACACAGAUUUGUACUUAACUACCUGAGACACGUCCAACUGGCCUGUUUCAUUUAGCCCACACACACACACACACACACACACAAUUACAAGGCCAUUCUAAGACUGGUAGAAGUCCUUAAGCAAUUCAAGGCUGUGAAGCUCACUAUGCAGCUAUGGCUCAGAUCAGAACCACACCCAUGCCAGGCUUGUUAGCGCUAGUGUGUGUGUGUGUGUGUGUGUGUGUGUGUGUGUAUGUGUGUGUGUGAGAGUGUUUACCUGUCAGGUCUGUGUGUGCCCUCAGCAAGUAACUCCAGCUGGAGGUGCGUGAUCACCAACCCCUCAGGCGUAGAAGAGGAAGAAGAUAAUAUCCUCCACUUCGUUCUCCUCCUUGUCCCCCUUCAUCUGUCUGUCCGUUCCUCUCUUCCGUCACCACGGAGUCCUCACCUUUCUUCUGUGCUCCCUCUCUCUUUCUUUCUUCUGUGCUCCCUCUCUCUUUCUCGUCUUGCUCCUUCUGUCUCUCACCAUGUGUGUGUCCGAACGCGAGGGAAUGCGGUCACUGGUUAGUGGAGGUUUAGUGGGGCCUCACCCUCACCCAGAGCAGGUCGGAUUAAUGGCCUAAAGCCCUUAGCACGGGGGAAUCCUGUUAGCCAGCACAGGAGGGGCACGUUUGUCACACACACACACACACACACACACACACAUUAUAUCCAAAUACACACACACACACAUACACAAUGCCAGCACAGGCAGAGAUACUGAGGCCAUGCCACACCAUGCCCGCACAGGUGCAUGCUGGGUAAAGGUGAGCUCCUGAGAGGCUUGGCACCCACGAGAGCGCAGGGAAGGCUGCUGUG